CAGCUCUGACUCAGAGAGGGGAUCAUAUCAACAUCAGUGUGUCUACAGAAAACUCCAGAGUGAGGGUAGAAGUCUUUUCUUUCUCUUAUUAGAGGACACAUUUGUGCAAAGAGUCUAAAGUAAAGAUGCUGUGGAGUCUGUUGUUCAUCACUUUGAUUGGAAGAUCAACUCAAAAGGAUCCAGUUACAUCAUCAGGAUUUAGUCCAGGAUGGGAAACUAUCAAACUGGAUGACAAAGUGGCAUUUCAGUC